AAAACAGUUAAAGCGCCAGUGCUGAAGAAAUCGGACGUUACUAAUUUUCAGCAGACGAGGUGGAGGAGUAUCGAACUUUCGGCGGAAGCCUCCCAAUCGCAAUUGCCCGGUUGUAUUUUUUGCUAGUAAAUCAUUUGAGCAAUCGAAUGGACAAAGGAGCAAAAAGGCAAAAUC
rfam:Sporosarcina psychrophila strain DSM 6497, complete genome.